rnacentral:tRNA from 1 species
GCGCGCAUAGUUCAGCUGGUUAGAACGCUAUCUUCACACGGUAGAGGUCACAGGUUCGAAUCCUGUUGCGCGCACCA